AAGGGGCUGGGGGAGCACA
rnacentral:miRNA from 1 species